GAUGAACGCUGGCGGCGUGCCUAAUACAUGCAAGUCGAGCGAACGGACGAGAAGCUUGCUUCUCUGAUGUUAGCGGCGGACGGGUGAGUAACACGUGGAUAACCUACCUAUAAGACUGGGAUAACUUCGGGAAACCGGAGCUAAUACCGGAUAAUAUUUUGAACCGCAUGGUUCAAAAGUGAAAGACGGUCUUGCUGUCACUUAUAGAUGGAUCCGCGCUGCAUUAGCUAGUUGGUAAGGUAACGGCUUACCAAGGCAACGAUGCAUAGCCGACCUGAGAGGGUGAUCGGCCACACUGGAACUGAGACACGGUCCAGACUCCUACGGGAGGCAGCAGUAGGGAAUCUUCCGCAAUGGGCGAAAGCCUGACGGAGCAACGCCGCGUGAGUGAUGAAGGUCUUCGGAUCGUAAAACUCUGUUAUUAGGGAAGAACAUAUGUGUAAGUAACUGUGCACAUCUUGACGGUACCUAAUCAGAAAGCCACGGCUAACUACGUGCCAGCAGCCGCGGUAAUACGUAGGUGGCAAGCGUUAUCCGGAAUUAUUGGGCGUAAAGCGCGCGUAGGCGGUUUUUUAAGUCUGAUGUGAAAGCCCACGGCUCAACCGUGGAGGGUCAUUGGAAACUGGAAAACUUGAGUGCAGAAGAGGAAAGUGGAAUUCCAUGUGUAGCGGUGAAAUGCGCAGAGAUAUGGAGGAACACCAGUGGCGAAGGCGACUUUCUGGUCUGUAACUGACGCUGAUGUGCGAAAGCGUGGGGAUCAAACAGGAUUAGAUACCCUGGUAGUCCACGCCGUAAACGAUGAGUGCUAAGUGUUAGGGGGUUUCCGCCCCUUAGUGCUGCAGCUAACGCAUUAAGCACUCCGCCUGGGGAGUACGACCGCAAGGUUGAAACUCAAAGGAAUUGACGGGGACCCGCACAAGCGGUGGAGCAUGUGGUUUAAUUCGAAGCAACGCGAAGAACCUUACCAAAUCUUGACAUCCUUUGACAACUCUAGAGAUAGAGCCUUCCCCUUCGGGGGACAAAGUGACAGGUGGUGCAUGGUUGUCGUCAGCUCGUGUCGUGAGAUGUUGGGUUAAGUCCCGCAACGAGCGCAACCCUUAAGCUUAGUUGCCAUCAUUAAGUUGGGCACUCUAAGUUGACUGCCGGUGACAAACCGGAGGAAGGUGGGGAUGACGUCAAAUCAUCAUGCCCCUUAUGAUUUGGGGCUACACACGUGCUACAAUGGACAAUACAAAGGGCAGCGAAACCGCGAGGUCAAGCAAAUCCCAUAAAGUUGUUCUCAGUUCGGAUUGUAGUCUGCAACUCGACUACAUGAAGCUGGAAUCGCUAGUAAUCGUAGAUCAGCAUGCUACGGUGAGUACGUUCCCGGGUCU
rnacentral:rRNA from 1 species